AUGCUCAAGCUGAAGUUAUAAGGAGUCCGUGACAAAGUUAUAGACAAGUGUAAUUUCAUGUUGCGGUUUGAAAGGUUUGAAAUGGCAGGAGGCAUUAGUCCCUGGUGGUACCAUGGUGGCUUCAGAGACACAGUGCAGCCAGAGCACUGGCAUCAAUAAAUACCACGAGUGCAAUGUGUGCGGGCAUCAUUUCAUGCUCGUGGAGGAGAAGCCAAGUGCAUGCCCCAUCUGCAAGCAGACGUUUGCUCAAAAGCAUUCAGUCACGACCCAACAGCUCGUGCACUCUGUCAAAAGACGGUUUCCCUGUUCUAUACGUGGGAAGCUGUUUAUGCAGAGGUACCUUGCUGUGCAUAGGACUCGUACCAGCACAAGAAGCUGUUCCAGUGCUGUCACUGUUUGGCAAUAUUAGCAAACAGGAGGUCACUCAAAGUCCACAUGAGACUGCACACCAAUGAGAAGGCACACAAGUGUAACACGUAUGGCAAGCUGUUCAACGAAAAGCGUUCAUUAGUUCAGCACCAACCCAUUCACGCAGACGAGAAGCAAUGCAAGUGCGAGCUGUGCCCAUCUGUGUUUCGCCACAAGGAGCCACUGAACAGACACAAGGAGCUCCGUACUAGGGGAGUAGACCUGCACCACUGCAAUGAGUGUGGUGAGAUCUUUGUGUGGAAAGGGAAACUGAAGGAGCAUCUGCAGUGGCACAUAAACAAUAUGCUUUACACAUGCCACGUGUGUCCACCUAAGUUAGCGAAUAAAUCCAACAUGAAGAGUCACAUGCCUAUGCACACAGGCGAAAAGCCAUUUAUUAAGUGUCCAGUAUGUGAAAAGCCAUUUGCCUAGUUGUCCGACUGUACGAGGCACACACCUUGCAUGCACAGCAAGGCGAAGCUUGAGGUGACAUGCAUUGACAACAGGGUGGCUACUUUGCCACCAAACAGCAGUUCCAGCACAACGUGUGAAAAAUGAAUUGAUAAAGACCUCACUUUCACAAGUGAUUUAAAAGGGCCCUUGGGCUUGGUGAAAUAACAUAGUCCGUGGGCAGCAUAUGCUGCCGUGAACAUCCCAGCCAAGUUUUGCUGUCGUACGCGGUGCGUGGAGCUUGCAAGCGGAUCACGAAUUCACCUUUCUCUCACACGCUCUCUUUUCAACAGAAGGCCCUAUCCUCACUCUCUUCUAGGCGCACUAUUUCGUCAUCGGAUGCAUUGUUUCAUCAUUCCCUUAGAUGGCUGCUAUUGGCCGAUAGCUGACAUCAAGCUGCGGCCAGCUACAUGGCGUACAUACCGCAGUCACCACGGGCUGCCCCCACGAGUCCACUGGAUAAGUGCGCUAUGGCUCACUGAAGACAGCUGUGUUUGGCUUAUGUUUAGCGUGCGUAGGCACCAAAGGCAGAAGCCAGAGCAUCUAUGUUAAUACCCAAAAGGAAAUUUGAACCGCAUGCUGCAGUGACAUUUAGAAUGCGGAGCACUGUGGGCAUACCCCACUGCGCCGUAGCCUUUGCAGUACAAGGCAUUGAAGAAGGAACGGGAGCACAGCAGAGGCCGUGUUUGAUUGCCAAUAACUCUGCUUCUGCUGAACGCAUUGAAGUACUUCUUGUGACAAAGUAUUUCUGAAAUAGUCUAUUUUUACUUCAAAUGCCUUUCUCCAAUUUGAUAAAAAGUGGUUCAGGGCCCCUUUAAUUAUGGGCAACAUAUGCGAUUGUGAUUAGGUGUUGCUGUAUGCUUGGCUUUAUUAAAGAGGCUUAUCAUUCUAAAGAUA
rnacentral:lncRNA from 1 species